AAUUGUUUCCGAGGGGACAAUUUGUCUUGAAAACAAAUUUAGAGUGUUCGACUCACUCAACAAUUU
rnacentral:tRNA from 1 species